rnacentral:rRNA from 1 species
AAUAUUGGACAAUGGGCGAAACCCUGAUCCAGCCAUGCCGCGUGCGUGAAGAAGGUCUUCGGAUUGUAAAGCACUAUAAGUUGGGAGGAAGGGGUUGAAGCUAAUACCUUCAAUCUUUGACGUUACCAACAGAAUAAGCACCGGCUAACUUCGUGCCAGCAGCCGCGGUAAUACGAAGGGUGCAAGCGUUAAUCGGAAUUACUGGGCGUAAAGCGCGCGUAGGUGGUUCGUUAAGUUGGAUGUGAAAGCCCCGGGCUCAACCUGGGAACUGCAUACAAAACUGGCGAGCUAGAGUACGGUAGAGGGUGGUGGAAUUACCUGUGUAGCGGUGAAAUGCGUAGAUAUAGGAAGGAACACCAGUGGCGAAGGCGACCACCUGGGCUAAUACUGACACUGAGGUGCGAAAGCGUGGGGAGCAAACAGG